rnacentral:rRNA from 1 species
GACGAACGCUGGCGGCGUGCCUAAUACACGCAAGUCGAACGAACUCUGGUAUUGAUUGGUGCUUGCAUCAUGAUUUACAUUUGAGUGAGUGGCGAACUGGUGAGUAACACGUGGGAAACCUGCCCAGAAGCGGGGGAUAACACCUGGAAACAGAUGCUAAUACCGCAUAACAACUUGGACCGCAUGGUCCGAGUUUGAAAGAUGGCUUCGGCUAUCACUUUUGGAUGGUCCCGCGGCGUAUUAGCUAGAUGGUGGGGUAACGGCUCACCAUGGCAAUGAUACGUAGCCGACCUGAGAGGGUAAUCGGCCACAUUGGGACUGAGACACGGCCCAAACUCCUACGGGAGGCUGCAGUAGGGAAUCUUCCACAAUGGACGAAAGUCUGAUGGAGCAACGCCGCGUGAGUGAAGAAGGGUUUCGGCUCGUAAAACUCUGUUGUUAAAGAAGAACAUAUCUGAGAGUAACUGUUCAGGUAUUGACGGUAUUUAACCAGAAAGCCACGGCUAACUACGUGCCAGCAGCCGCGGUAAUACGUAGGUGGCAAGCGUUGUCCGGAUUUAUUGGGCGUAAAGCGAGCGCAGGCGGUUUUUUAAGUCUGAUGUGAAAGCCUUCGGCUCAACCGAAGAAGUGCAUCGGAAACUGGGAAACUUGAGUGCAGAAGAGGACAGUGGAACUCCAUGUGUAGCGGUGAAAUGCGUAGAUAUAUGGAAGAACACCAGUGGCGAAGGCGGCUGUCUGGUCUGUAACUGACGCUGAGGCUCGAAAGUAUGGGUAGCAAACAGGAUUAGAUACCCUGGUAGUCCAUACCGUAAACGAUGAAUGCUAAGUGUUGGAGGGUUUCCGCCCUUCAGUGCUGCAGCUAACGCAUUAAGCAUUCCGCCUGGGGAGUACGGCCGCAAGGCUGAAACUCAAAGGAAUUGACGGGGGCCCGCACAAGCGGUGGAGCAUGUGGUUUAAUUCGAAGCUACGCGAAGAACCUUACCAGGUCUUGACAUACUAUGCAAAUCUAAGAGAUUAGACGUUCCCUUCGGGGACAUGGAUACAGGUGGUGCAUGGUUGUCGUCAGCUCGUGUCGUGAGAUGUUGGGUUAAGUCCCGCAACGAGCGCAACCCUUAUUAUCAGUUGCCAGCAUUAAGUUGGGCACUCUGGUGAGACUGCCGGUGACAAACCGGAGGAAGGUGGGGAUGACGUCAAAUCAUCAUGCCCCUUAUGACCUGGGCUACACACGUGCUACAAUGGAUGGUACAACGAGUUGCGAACUCGCGAGAGUAAGCUAAUCUCUUAAAGCCAUUCUCAGUUCGGAUUGUAGGCUGCAACUCGCCUACAUGAAGUCGGAAUCGCUAGUAAUCGCGGAUCAGCAUGCCGCGGUGAAUACGUUCCCGGGCCUUGUACACACCGCCCGUCACACCAUGAGAGUUUGUAACACCCAAAGUCGGUGGGGUAACCUUUUAGGAACCAGCCGCCUAAGGUGGGACAGAUGAUUAGGGUG